GAUGAACGCUGGCGGCGUGCCUAAUACAUGCAAGUCGAGCGAACAGAUGCGGAGGUUGCUCCUCUGACGUUAGCGGCGCACGGGUGAGUAACACGUGGAUAACAUCCCUAUAAGACUGGGAGAACAUCGGGAAACCGGAGCGAAUACCGGAGAAUAUAUUGAACCGCAUGGGACAAUAGUGAAAGACGGUUUUGCUGUCACUUUUAGAUGGAUCCGCGCCGCAUUAGCGAGUUGGUAAGGUAACGGCCUACCAAGGCAACGAUGCGUAGCCGACCUGAGAGGGUGAUCGGCCACACUGGAACUGAGACACGGUCCAGACUCCUACGGGAGGCAGCAGUAGGGAAUCUUCCGCAAUGGGCGAAAGCCUGACGGAGCAACGCCGCGUGAGUGAUGAAGGUCUUCGGAUCGUAAAACUCUGUUAUUAGGGAAGAACAAAUAUGUAAGAAACUAUGAACGUCUUGACGGUACCUAAUCAGAAAGCCACGGCUAACUACGUG
rnacentral:rRNA from 1 species